GAACGCACAUUGCGCCCCUUGGUAUUCCGAGGGGCAUGCCUGUUCGAGCGUCAUUAUAACCACUCAAGCCUCGGCUUGGUCUUGGGGUUCGCGGUCUCGCGGCCCUUAAAAUCAGUGGCGGUGCCGUCUGGCUCUAAGCGUAGUAAUUCUCUCGCUAUAGGGUCCCGGUGGUUACUUGCCAGAACCCCUCAUUUUUUACGGUUGACCUCGGAUCAGGUAGGGAUACCCGCUGAACUUAAG
rnacentral:misc_RNA from 1 species